rnacentral:lncRNA from 1 species
UGCUGAAUACAACAGGUGUAGUAGACCUCACAGUGAAAUGCUGAAUACAACAGGUGUAGUAGACCUUAUAGUGAAAUGCUGAAUACAACAGGUGUAGACCUCACAGUGAAAUGCUGAAUACAACAGGUGUAGUAGACCUCACAGUGAAAUGCUGAAUACAACAGGUGUAGUAGACCUUACAGUGAAAUGCUGAAUACAACAGGUGUAGUAGACCUCACAGUGAAAUGCUGAAUACAACAGGUGUAGACCUCACAGUGAAAUGCUGAAUACAACAGGUGUAGACCUUACAGUGAAAUGCUGAAUACAACAGGUGUAGACCUUACAGUGAAAUGCUGAAUACAACAGGUGUAGUAGACCUCACAGUGAAAUGCUGAAUACAACAGGUGUAGUAGACCUUACAGUGAAAUGCUGAAUACAACAGGUGUAGUAGACCUUACAGUGAAAUGCUGAAUACAAC